rnacentral:lncRNA from 1 species
CAGUCCCAAGAUGUGACACAAUUCAUGCUGUGGCAGAAGCUGAAACUUGCUCCAGCAUCUUUCAGAAGUUCAACCUACUUGAAGCACACUUCCUUGAGAUCAAUCCUAACAUUAACUGCGUUGGCAUAUUUGUGGGCCAAUGGGUGUGUGUUGAGGGUGAAGUGAAUUGAGUUGUACCUGCUAUCAAACUUAAUUAGAUAUAAGUCUAAUGGAAUAUAUGUGCAAUAAGGAGAGAAACCAACCUUUCUCCAUACUUAUCUAUAUGAUAUGUAAUAUGUUCUAAUGAAUGAAUGUGAAUGAAAUUACGUACUCCACUUAUCUUUGCUGAUUGCAGUCGAUUAUGAUUGUCCAAAUCCCCUGUGUCAUGGGUCGUAAUCCCCUCUGUUUUCAAUCUUAUUGUCAAUAGUUGAAAAUCAUCACUUUAAGUCGUUGGGAUCACACUUUAUUCAUCUGGAUCGUAAUAUUCGGAACCCUUACAUUAUGGUGAAAAUUUCAAUAUAUAGACUUAAUUUUGCAUUGUGCAUGCGCGCCACAUGUGCCACCUAAGUUGGCUUGGCAUGUUUUGAACUAUCAGUACGCGAACACAUACACAUGUAUCACACACAAACUUCACACCUGAGGCGCGUGUGUCUCAAGCUUCUUCACUUGAUGACUUCACUCUUUAUGAAAAAAUAACAUUUCACAUCUGAAUGAGACUUGAGAUAGAAUUUCCUCAAGUUGUUUGGACUUCAUCUCUUCACUUUGACUGGUCUUUAUACCUCUGUAACAUCCACAAGAUAUUUCAUGAUCAGAUCAACCCACUAGUAUGUUCCAAAAAGACUAUGACAUCUUAUAUGGUUGUGUGGUUAGGGAGAUACAAGACAUACAAUGACUUAAUUCAAAACCAUACAGACUCUUUCACAAACUAUUAGUAACUCACUAGAAUACAUAGGCUACAUGCUAGUGUUUGGUAAAAAUAGCGGAUAGCUGAUAGCUUUUAGCUGGUAAGCUAGCUGAUAGUUUUUAGCUGAUAAGCUAACUGAAGUGUUUGAUAAAAAUAGCGGUUCAACUAGCUGAUAAAUGUAAAAUGACAUAAAGGGUAUUCUUAAUUCAUAAUAAAAAUUAUAUCAUUAAUUUAAGUAUUUGUAAUUUUGUAAACUAAUUUUUCUUUAAAAAAAUACUUUAAAUUUAUUAAUUUAAUAUAUCCUAUGUAUUAUAAAUUAAAUUAAAUUUUAUUCACUAAAAUUUUAUCUUAUAUUUAUUAUCAUUUAAGUGUUUCCACUUAGAAAAUAACAUUUACCUCAAAAAUAAAAAAAAGGUAGCACUAAUAGAGUAAUACUAAUAACAGAGAAUAAAGAAAAUAACACUUACCUCAAAAAAAAAAAAAAGUAACACUAAUAGAAUAAUGGUAUUUUGUUUCGUAAAAAAAAAACGAAGGUAUAUAUUUUUUCAAAAAAAAAAAAAAAAGGACAGCUGAUAUAUAUACAAAAAUUGGAAUAAAGGGAUAGUAGUCUUUAUUACGUAGCUUAUUAUAAAAAUUAUAAUGGAUAAAAAUACAAUUUAAAUGAAAUAAUAAGGGUAAAAUUGGAAGAAAAAGUGAGAAGCUAUAAGCUAUAAACUCAAACGCUACUUGGAAUAGCUUCUGAAAAACAGCUUAUAAGCUAUAAGCUCAUGGUGAAAAAGUGUUACCAAACAGAGUUUUUUUUGUCAAACGAGCUUAUAAGCUAUAAGCUAAAAGCUCUUUUUUGGGGUUUCCCAAAGAGACCCUAUAAAGACUUUUUAAAACAUGAAAAUACAUGUUAUGACAAUGAGUCAUAAAAAUCCGUAAUACCAUUCUAUUUAUCAAUAACAUGGCGUCCCCGUGAGCAUAGCUCAGUUGGCAGGGACAAUGCAUUGUUAUAUGCAGGGGCCGGGGUUCGAACCCCGAACACCCCACUUAUUCACCUUAUAAGGUGAAUUCUAGCCACUAAGCUACCUCUGACAAAAAAAAAAAAACAUGGCUGACAAGCAUAUGAAAUUUUGUUCUACACUUAGACGUUGCAGCAUCUCCAAACAUCACUUGGUAACUUAAGCAUAUUAAAGGAGACAUAAUCAGAUUUCAACAUAGCACUUAUUGAACUUGUUUUAAUUUUGUUUUCUCUUAUCGCAUGAAUCCCAUUGUUACCAUGUUCUUCUCACUAAUUUAAAUGUUUGAUUUUGUUCUUCUCACUAUUUUACUGUGAAAAUUUGUCCACCGUUCUCAAUUAUGCAUAUCGUAUUGAAGUAUUUGUUAUAAUAAUUAAUAUACAAAGGGUUAUCAUAGUCGAUUCUUGUGCAAUAGAGUCACAAGAUAUACAAGAAUGAUUGAAUGAAGAAGCAUUAGGGCAUUCAAAAAAAUAAUAAAAAUAUGAAUUAUCGUAUGUGACAAGACAUAUUGAUAUAGUAAUAUUUAGGCUUAAAUAUGUAUUUGAUCCUUGUAAUUAGGGAUCGUUUAAAAAUUGGUCCCUGUAUUCGCUAAUCAUUGCAAACUAGCCUUGCAAUCAUUAAUCAUUUAAAAUUUAGUCCUUUGACCAACUUAAUCACUACCACGUCACUAAUUUGAUGACGUGGCAAUCACUGCCAAACAUGAAAUUCCAAUUUUGCCCUUAAGAAGAGGACAAAAUAUUGAAGAAAGAAUUGAAAAAUCAGGGGUAAAAUUGGAAUUUCAUGUGGCGUGGCAGUGAUUAAGUGGGGAGAGGGACGAAAUUUUAAAUGAUUAAACAAUGCAGGGGUAAAUUUCCAGGAUUAACGAUUACAGGGACCAAUUUUUAAACGACCCCCUAAUUACAAGGAUCAAAUACAUAUUUAAGCCUAAUAUUUAUAAGAUGCGUGUUGCGGCUAACAUUAAACACCAUAUAAAUUCAUAAUAUAUAAUCUAAUCUAAUGAACAAAAAUAUAUUCAAUACAUUAUGUAUAUGCUGCUUAGAGACGGCAUUUCUUAAAAUCCAACGCCAUAUGAUAUUGAAAACUUUAGAGUCUAUAGUCGUAUUAGGUUCAUAGAUCCUAUAUAAACUGAAGCCCGAAAGUCUAAAAAACACAACUCACAACAUUAGAACCAUAAUUAGUUAAAAAGGUUUGGAACAAGAAGAAUGGCUAAGUCAACUAACAUCUACUUUGCUCUAAUUUUUUCACUUAUUCUCGUUAUGAUGUUUAUUGUUGAAAGUCGACCAACACCAACAGGUAAAUCUAAGUUGAAAUUCAAAACAAGCUAGAGAUAAUGCAUAUUUUUAUUUUUAUUUAAAAAAAAAAAAAAAAGGGCUUUGAAUGGCCAAAUGAUGACUAUAAAUAAUAGUAAACCCUAUCUAACUUUAAUUUAAAUUUUGCAGUUGCAGUCCCAACAUGUGACACAAUUCAUGCUGUGGCAGAAGCUGAAACUUGCUCCAGCAUCGUUCAAAAGUUCAACCUACUUGAAGCACACUUCCUUGAGAUCAAUCCUAACAUUAACUGCGUUGGCAUCUUUGUGGGCCAAUGGGUAUGUGUUGAAGGUGAAGUGAAUUGAGUUUACUCGCUAUCAAAGUUAACUAGAUACAAGUCUAAUCGAAAUAAAUGUUCAAUAAGGAGAAACCAACCUUUCUCCAUGCUUGAUAUCAUUGUUAUAUAUCUAUCAGAUAGUGAUAUGUAAACUCUUGUUCUAAUGAAUGAAUUGUAAUGAGAUUACGCCGCUCUGUUAGUUAAGUGUAUUAUGCAUUGCCAAUUUACCAUGCAUUUGACUUUGUUGAGUAUCACUCAUAUAUAUAAGACACUAAAGAAUGCAAGCCAAGCUACGAGCGCUAAUAUUGUGAACUGAAUCGUAGAAGUAGUAUUAUAUAUAUUGUUUGUAACAUUGAAACUUUAAUUUCAUCGCAUCUAUAGUUACUCUAUAGUUGCAGAGGCAUGCAUCGUUAAUGACCGAACUGCG